rnacentral:rRNA from 1 species
CCUACGGGAGGCAGCAGUGGGGAAUAUUGGGCAAUGGGCGCAAGCCUGACCCAGCAACGCCGCGUGAAGGAAGAAGGCUUUCGGGUUGUAAACUUCUUUUCUCAGGGACGAAGAAAGUGACGGUACCUUAGGAAUAAGCCACGGCUAACUACGUGCCAGCAGCCGCGGUAAUACGUAGGUGGCAAGCGUUAUCCGGAUUUACUGGGUGUAAAGGGCGUGUAGGCGGGGAAGCAAGUCAGAUGUGAAAACCACGGGCUCAACCAGUGGCCUGCAUUUGAAACUGUUGUUCUUGAGUACUGGAGAGGCAGACGGAAUUACUAGGGUAGCGGUGAAAUGCGAAGAUAUUAGGAGGAACACCAGUGGCGAGGGCGGUCUGCUGGACAGCAACUGACGCUGAGGCGCGAAAGCGUGGGGAGCAAACAGGAUUAGAUACCCCUGUAGUC